AAUUUUGGACAAUGGGGGAAACACUGAUCCACCCAUCCCGCGUGUGCGAUGAAGGCCUUCGGGUUGUAUAGCAAUCUUGUCUGGGAAGAAACAGUUCUGGCUAAUACCCGGAACUGAUGACGGUUCCUCACGUAUAAGUCCCCGCAAUCUACGUGCCAGCAGCCGCGGUAAUACGUAGGGUGCAAGCUUUAAUCGGAAGUACUGGGCGUAAAGCGUGCGCCGGCGGUUCGGAAAGAAGGAUAUGAAAUCCCAGGGCUCAACCUUGGAACUGCAUUCUUAACUACCGAACUAGAGUAUGUCAGAGGGGGGUAGAAUUCCGCGUGUAGCAGUGAAAUGCGUAGAUAUGCGGAGGAAUACCGAUGGCGAAGGCAGCCCCCUGGGAUAAUACUGACGCUCAUGCACGAAAGCGUGGGUAGCAAACAGG
rnacentral:rRNA from 1 species